GGGCGGAUGGUUUAGUGGUAUAAUUCUCCCUUAGCAUCUUGCUUCCAUCUGGGAGAGGUCCGGGGUUCGAUUCCCCGUUCGUCCA
rfam:Purpureocillium lilacinum isolate PLFJ-1 scaffold00001, whole genome shotgun sequence.